rnacentral:rRNA from 1 species
GACGAACGCCGGCGGCGUGCUUAACACAUGCAAGUCGAACGGAAAGGCCCUGCUUUUGUGGGGUGCUCGAGUGGCGAACGGGUGCGUAACACGUGAGUAACCUGCCCUUGACUUUGGGAUAACUUCAGGAAACUGGGGCUAAUACCGGAUAGGAGCUCCUGCUGCAUGGUGGGGGUUGGAAAGUUUCGGCGGUUGGGGAUGGACUCGCGGCUUAUCAGCUUGUUGGUGGGGUAGUGGCUUACCAAGGCUUUGACGGGUAGCCGGCCUGAGAGGGUGACCGGCCACAUUGGUACUGAGCUACGGCCCAGACUCCUACGGGAGGCAGCAGUGAGGAAUAUUGCACAAUGGGCGGAAGCCUGAUGCAGCAACGCCGCGUGCGGGAUGACGGCCGUCGGGUUGUAACCCGCUUUCGCCUGUGACGAAGCGUGAGUGGCGGUAAUGGGUAGAGAAGCACCGGCUAACUACGUG